ensembl:piRNA 21ur-7792 ncRNA
UUCUUAAAAAAGAAUUUCAAG